AAGUCGUAACAAGGUUUCCGUAGGUGAACCUGCGGAAGGAUCAUUAGUGAUUUAAAAAAAGUUAUACUUUAAUUAGUUAACUUUUAUCUACUACUAUACAAACCACUGUUUAAAAAUGUUAUAAGAAUGUUAUGUGGUUUAACCACAGAAAGCUUUUAAUUAUUAAAACUUUCAGCAACGGAUCUCUUGGUUCAG
rnacentral:misc_RNA from 1 species